AAGUUGCAUUAUGAGUAAUAUUUUAAAAAAUUAAUUGUUUAUUUAUGUAAAAUAAAUUUUUAAAUUUAAAUAAGUUUGAUAAUAACCAAGUAAUACAUAUUUGUGUAAAUAAUAAAAUCUGUAAAAAAUGGAUAAUACAAUAAUUGCAUCCAAUUUAUCUAGACAGCAUUUAGUUGUUAAUGAACAAGUGGAUCUUGUAAAUAGUGAGAUCGAAAGGACACGACCUAAUGAAGAUUCAAGACCUAUUACAAUGAGAGAGUGGGUUACUGUUAUAAUUUUAUGUUUUGUUAACCUCAUAAAUUAUAUGGACCGUACAACCAUAGCUGGUGUUUUACCAAAUAUUCAAUCACAGUUUCGUAAGGAGAAUGGAGCCUUAGGUUUACUUCAAACAGCUUUUAUCAUAAGUUAUAUGUUAUUUGCUCCAUUAUUUGGAUAUUUAGGCGAUAGAUACAAUAGAAAAGUAAUUAUGAGUUCUGGAGUAUUCAUCUGGAGCUUAACAACUUUCAUUGGUUCAUAUAUGGAGACUUAUGGAACAUUUAUUGUAUUCAGAAUGUGUGUAGGGAUCGGAGAAGCAAGUUAUUCAACGAUAGCACCAACGAUAAUAAGUGAUCUUUUUGUAAAAGACACAAGAUCGAAAAUGUUAGCUCUAUUUUAUUUUGCAAUACCCGUGGGAAGUGGACUAGGGUAUAUAAUUAGUGGAAAAAUAGCUCAAGCUACUGGAAAAUGGCAAUGGGGAUUAAGAGUUACUCCAGUAUUUGGAAUAAUAGCAAUUGUUUUAAUUCUUUGCUUGGUUAAAGAUCCUAUUAGAGGAGAAAAAGAAGGAGGUAGUCAUAUAUCUAGUACUUCUUGGAUCGUUGAUAUAAAAACAUUAUUAUCAAAUCCAAGUUUUAUGCUAUCAACAGCAGGAUUUACGUGUGUAGCAUUUGUAACUGGUGCAUUAGCAUUAUGGGCUCCGAAAUUUUUACAAAUGGGUUUAGCUCUACAAGAAACGAAAACUGUUGUUAUAGACGAUGUAUCUUUUGUGUUUGGAAUCAUAGCAAUGUUAGCCGGAUUAAUAGGAGUACCGUUGGGUUCAUUUAUGGCGCAAAAACUUCGUCUUAUUUGGCAUCAAGCAGAUCCUCUUAUCUGUGCUGUUGGUUUACUCGUUAGCACACCUUUAAUAUUUUUCGCUGUUUUAACGGCUAACAGUCAUUCGAUCAUAUGUUUUUUCCUUAUCUUCUUUGGACAACUGGCACUUAAUCUCACCUGGUCUAUUGUCGCUGAUAUUUUAUUGUAUGUCGUAAUUCCUACGAGAAGAUCGACGGCUGAAGCUUUCCAAAUUCUUGUUGCUCAUGCUCUCGGAGAUGCUGGAAGUCCUUACCUCAUCGGCUUAAUGUCCGAAGGAAUUCGACCUCUUUUAACUCCAACAUCGCCUUUUAGUGACCACGAAGAUAUGCUGGCACAAUUUCGUAGUUUGCAAUAUUCAUUAUUUUUAACUGUUUUCGUAGAAGUGAUCGGAGGUUUAUUUUUCUUCCUCACAGCACUUUACAUAGAAAAAGAUAAAUCGAUGGUUGAUCUUUCGAUAGCUGUGCAUGAAUUGAUAUCAAGUAUGGAGUUAGAGCCACAGGUUUUGGGAGUCAACGAGUAAUAAUGUGCGUUCCUGAUGAUUAACAAGUUAAGCGCCAGGAAUAGAUAGAAAUCUGUUGCUGAAUGUUUAGAAUCUAAGAAUAAAGGGCAAGCAGAAUCAACGCAUUUGUAGAAUCACCAAUGGGCCUCACCUGAUAGUAUGCUGUAUAUCUGGUACAUCAUUUACAUUUUUUGCCCUUAUUUCAUUACAUUUUUGAGAGAAAAUACAGAAAUCAUAAGGUUUUGUUAAAUAAUAUUCAUUUUUAAUGUUAUAAUAACAAAAUAACUAUUUAAAAUCAUGAUUAAACCAUUAACUUUAAUCAUUAAAAAAUUCACAGUAUUGCUUUUAAAAAAACCAAUUACUAAAUCAAUAAUUUUAUAGAAGAUUUAAUUUAAUACACCUAAGCUUGUAAAUAAUUUUGAUAAUUAAUGUUUCUAAUUUAAAUUCAGUACUUCAGAUUUAGUCAUCGAAAAAAGCUGAUGAAGCUUGCCUACCAGCCGAAAUUUUUUUAAUUAUUUUGAAUUCGCUUGUGAUGUGUUUAUAUGCAUGCGAAAAUAGUUUUUAUUACUUGUUAGAGUUUGAUAUUUGAUUUAUGAUAUUGAAAAUAAAUAUUAGAAAUAAUUAGUCAUCAUUUUUUGGUAAUUAAGAGGACACAGUUUUAGAAACUUUCCGAUUUUGUCUACAAGUAUUUCACAAGAGAGAGUUUUUAAUGAGUAAAUUAAUUAUUGAGGAAUUUAAUAGCUA
rnacentral:misc_RNA from 1 species